GUUGUGUUUCUACCGGGCAGAUUCUCUCCCAUCACAGCAUCAAAUGAUGUGGCUCCACAAGCAAAGAUGUACAGAAGGACAGAGAUGCCCUUACCAGUUGCAAAUCCACAAACUCUGGUCCCUGGCCCAGUUCCUUCAUCAGAGCAAAGUGAUAAGCAACCAGUUGAACUCCAAAACCUUGCACCAAUAGUGCAAGUCCAAGGGCUACCAUCUGAACUUCAAUCGACUGUUUCCAUUCCACAGGAAAACCAACCUACCUCUAAUAUCCUUCCUUUGACUGAUAACCUGCCA
rnacentral:misc_RNA from 1 species